CGGAUUUCUCGAGUUGAACGCAAAAGUAAGGCGCAUCUUUUGUUCGUCGUGACUUAACUAACACCUGUCAGGAAAUUCUUUCUCCAUUAUAACUGCGUUUCCACUGUGAAUCUUGUCUUCUCUCAUUAAAAGUGGUGGCGUGGCAGUACUGUUCCAACGUAUUUCAUCGAGUUCGCGUCGGAAGUGUUUCUGUGAAAUAAUUUGUGUAUUUUAUUAAUUCAUCGAGGUUUAUCGAUAUAAAAAAACGUGUCCCGAUUGAAGCAUUGGCGCGUUUUUCCAAGUCCACUUCUGAUUCAAAUUUCGAAAGAUCCAAGAUGGCGUGUGAUUGGUUCCCAACGUUUCCUGCGCAACUACAUUAUCACUGUUUUCAGAUUCCAGGAACGGCCAUUAUCUCCUAGAGGUAAUUCAGUAGCCGGGAAAAUGGCGGGAACGGAGGAGGAUGAUUGCAUGGAGACCGGGAGAGGUAUUAUCGCGG